GUGAGACCAGAGACCUCCAGGGUUUCAGUCCUGGAGUUCACUACCUCUGAGCUCCAAGGUGCCUGAUCCUUUUUUCUCCGGAGCUCAGGCAGUGCCUACUACCCACCAGUGGGAGGAGAGCUGGUCCAGGUGACAGUGGGAGAUACUGCAGCCACUGGGCACUCCAGGGAAAAAAGGAUAGGCCCUUCAGAGCUCAGACAGUGCCUGGCCAGCAGUGCAUGGGGUGCAGGGCAACAGGCCCUGCCUGAGCGCUGGAGAAAAAAGGAUUGUACCCCUCAGAGCUCAGAACAUUCUGGGAUACUGGAGGACUUUAACUGGGGUGAAAUAGCUGUGGAAACCUGCCUACAUUUUCAGCAUCAAUGAUCUGUGGGCCUUCGCAUGCAUGAACUGACAACCUUAAUUAGAUGGGAAUACUAGGCGAUGGAAGAAGACACAGACUUUAAGAGCAGUACUCACCAGAUUUCAAGGAACAGUUUUACAAUGCCAGUCACCAAGGAGCCAGCAAAGAGGGACUGCAAACAGUGUAAGAAAUUUGCAAGCAGUUUGCUGGGAACAAGAGGAGGAAGAGGGACAAAAACCAGGCACUAGAUCCUGCCCAGGGAAGAAAGUCAUCAGCAAUGCUUCCGGGAAAAUCAACAUUCAAUCAAAAUACUCCAGAAAAUGUGAGCUCUGGAUGAAGGUUAUAAGAGCACUUAUGGUGGAAAUGAACUAGCCGUGUGAGCCACAUCUGAAUGUUACAUUGUCUAUUCAGAGGAAAUAGUAUCAUGAUGUAAUUUUUUUUUUUUUUUAUUACAUAGAGAAGUGGACAACCUCCGAAGUUCUUGGCAUUCAAAGGGCAAUAUUUUGAAAAACUAUCUAAGUCACUUUGGAACAAAUAUUUCAUAAAGUUAAUAGAUUUAAUAGAUUUCUAGGGUCAGAAGGGGCCUAUUAGAUCAUCGAGUCCAACACCCUGCUCUGGGAAUAUUCUGUUCCCUUGCACUGUGACCGAAAAGAUGUCCAUGUUCUCAGACUUAUUUUUCCAGAGUGUGAUGAAAGGAAGACUUCUAGAUGUUGGUCUGAAUUCAGAACGUUGGAUAAUCUUUGCUGCUAAUACCCUUUAGAGUCUUCCAUCCCCUAAUUUGUUCUCCUUCUGUUGCAAGACAAAGUUGCAAUAGUUUGUCCAAUUAAUUUGAUCCUCCACACCUGAAUAUGAAGCAAUAAAAAAAAACCAAAACACCAUACUUCAGCAAAUACAGAAUGACUUAUCUCAUAAUUUCACACAUAAUUAUCUCCCUGCUGGCUUGGUGAUACAAACCUAAUCAUACAGAGAAAUUAGCUGCAACAUUUUCAAGGAAUUAUAUCAAUUUGUAGUAUUGUUUGACAAAUACUUCUGUUUGUUUUUUUUAACUGAUUACCAUAAAUUCUAAUUUCUAGGUG